GAUGAACGCUAGCGAUAGGCCUAACACAUGCAAGUCGAGGGGCAGCACAUGAGUAGCAAUACGAUGGUGGCGACCGGCGCACGGGUGAGUAACACGUAUGCAACCUACCUCUAACAGGGGGAUAACCCGUUGAAAGACGGACUAAUACCCCAUAAUACAGGGGCUCCGCAUGGAGAUAUUUGUUAAAGAUUUUAUCGGUUAGAGAUGGGCAUGCGUUCCAUUAGCUAGUUGGUGAGGUAACGGCUCACCAAGGCGACGAUGGAUAGGGGAACUGAGAGGUUUAUCCCCCACACUGGAACUGAGACACGGUCCAGACUCCUACGGGAGGCAGCAGUGAGGAAUAUUGGUCAAUGGAGGCAACUCUGAACCAGCCAAGUCGCGUGAAGGAUGAAGGUCUUAUGGAUUGUAAACUUCUUUUGCAGGGGAAUAAAGUAGCGGUACGUGUACCGUUUUGCAUGUACCCUGCGAAUAAGGAUCGGCUAACUCCGUGCCAGCAGCC
rnacentral:rRNA from 1 species